rnacentral:rRNA from 1 species
GACGAACGCUGGCGGCGUGCCUAAUACAUGCAAGUCGAACGCACAGUUUAUACCGUAGCUUGCUACACCAUAGACUGUGAGUUGCGAACGGGUGAGUAACGCGUAGGUAACCUGCCUGGUAGCGGGGGAUAACUAUUGGAAACGAUAGCUAAUACCGCAUAAUAUUGAUUAUUGCAUGAUAAUUGAUUGAAAAAUGCUAUUGCAUCACUACCAGAUGGACCUGCGUUGUAUUAGCAAGUAGGUGAGGUAACGGCUCACCUAGGCGACGAUACAUAGCCGAGCGGAGAGGGUGAUCGGCCACACUGGGACUGAGACAAGGCCCAGACUCCUACGGGAGGCAGCAGUAGGGAAUCUUCGGCAAUGGACGAAAGUCUGACCGAGCAACGCCGCGUGAGUGAAGAAGGUUUUCGGAUCGUAAAGCUCUGUUGUAAGAGAAGAACGGGUGUGAGAGUGGAAAGUUCACACUGUGACGGUAUCUUACCAGAAAGGGACGGCUAACUACGUG